UGGCCAGGGAAAACCUCACAGAAAGCUUGGGUUCCGGGUGCAGAAUGGGGGAGCUUGGCAUAUGGUUAACAGGACAGAGGACAGAGAAGGGACAGAGAGGAGAACAGUGAUGGCGUGGAGGAGCUGGGAAGACUCAGAACCGGAGGAUGAUGUUUGUGGAGGAAGAAGAUCUCAGAGGGAGGUUUACUUGCAGCAGGACUUUGCAUGAGGACAAAGAUGGACCAAGCUCACCUCCCUCAAGCUCAGAGACUGCAAAUGGACCUAACGCCUUACCUGCUGCCACCCAGGCCCAUCCUGGCAGAGUGGAGACCACCGGCAGGCAACAGAUUGGUUUUGUCAUUGUGGAAAUUACAAACACGACUCCAUCAAAAGGGAGUGACUACCA
rnacentral:lncRNA from 1 species